CCUACGGGUGGCAGCAGUGAGGAAUAUUGGUCAAUGGCCGGAAGGCUGAACCAGCCAUGCCGCGUGAAGGUCAGUGCCCUAUGGGCGUUAAACUUCUUUUGUGCGGGAGCAAUAAUGGUCACGUGUGGCCAGACGAGAGUACCGUACGAAUAAGCAUCGGCUAACUCCGUGCCAGCAGCCGCGGUAAUACGGGGGAUGCAAGCGUUUUCCGGAUUUAUUGGGUUUAAAGGGUGCGUAGGCUGUGAGGUAAGUCAGCGGUGAAAUGCCCCCGCUCAACGGGGUGAAGUGCCAUUGCUACUGCCUGGCUGGAAGGCGGAUGCCGUGGGAGGAAUGUGUGGUGUAGCGGUGAAAUGCAUAGAUAUCACACAGAACACCGAUUGCGAAGGCAUCUCACGAAUCCGCGAUUGACGCUGAUGCACGAAAGCGUGGGUAUCAAACAGGAUUAGAUACCCGGGUAGUC
rnacentral:rRNA from 1 species